rnacentral:rRNA from 1 species
GUGACUAAUAAUCAUAAUUCAUGACGGUAUCAACAGAAGAAGCACCGGCUAACUACGUGCCAGCAGCCGCGGUAAUACGUAGGGUGCAAGCGUUAAUCGGAAUUACUGGGCGUAAAGGGUGCGCAGGCGGUUCUGUAAGUCAGAUGUGAAAUCCCCGGGCUUAACCUGGGAACUGCGUUUGAAACUGCAGAGCUAGAGUGCGGCAGAGGGAGGUGGAAUUCCAUGUGUAGCAGUGAAAUGCGUAGAGAUAUGGAAGAACAUCGAUGGCGAAGGCAACCUCCUGGGCUAGCACUGACGCUCAUGCACGAAAGCGUGGGGAGCAAACAGGAUUAGAUACCCUGGUAGUCCACGCCCUAAACUAUGUCAACUAGUUGUCGGGUCUUAUUAGACUUGGUAACGUAGCUAACGCGUGAAGUUGACCGCCUGGGGAGUACGGUCGCAAGAUUAAAACUCAAAGGAAUUGACGGGGACCCGCACAAGCGGUGGAUUAUGUGGAUUAAUUCGAU